UGUUAGGGCACGACACCGGAGAGGGAGCCUGAGAAACGGCUACCACAUCCAAGGAAGGCAGCAGGCGCGCAAAUUACCCAAUCCCGACAUGGGGAGGUAGUGACAAUAAAUAACAAUACAGGGUUCUUUUGGAUCUUGUAAUUGGAAUGAGUACAAUUUAAAUCUCUUAACGAGGAACAAUUGGAGGGCAAGUCUGGUGCCAGCAGCCGCGGUAAUUCCAGCUCCAAUAGCGUAUAUUAAAGUUGUUGCAGUUAAAAAGCUCGUAGUUGAAUUUCGGGAUCAAGGGAUCGGUCAUGCCUUGGUAUGUACUGGUUUCAUUGGUUCUCACCUUCUAAAGAACCAUGAUGUCAUUCAUUUGAUGUUAUGGGGAAUUAGGACUGUUACCUUGAAAAAAUUAGAGUGUUUAAAGCAAGCUUACGCUUGAAUACAUUAGCAUGGAAUAAUGAAAUAGGACAUCAGAUUCUAUUUUGUUGGUUUCUAGGAUCGAUGUAAUGAUUAAUAGGGAUAGUUGGGGGCAUUAGUAUUCAACUGUCAGAGGUGAUAUCUUGGAGUUCUUCUACACUAACCACUGCUAAAGCUUUUGUCCCGGACGUUAUGGUUGUAUAGGUAUUACACUUAUCUCAUCAUCUACAAUGUGGACUUCUCGUAAUCUAAUCCUUUGUAUCCAGUUUUUUCUCUUUUCUAUUUAAUUUAUUUUUUUCUUUUUUCCUUCCCCUUUGGUGUCUUUAUUUUCUUUGUUCAUUUUUUUCGUUCUAUCCUACCAUCGAAAAGUUAGCUCUAUCCUACCAUCGAAAGUU
rnacentral:rRNA from 1 species